ACACACACACACUCUCUCAUGGUCUAUGACAUCACCAGGUACACACACACACACACUCUCUCAUGGUCUAUGACAUCACCAGGUACACACACACACACACUCUCUCAUGGUCUAUGACAUCACCAGGUACACACACACACACACUCUCUCAUGGUCUAUGACAUCACCAGGUACACACACACACACACUCUCUCAUGGUCUAUGACAUCACCAGGUACACACACACACACACUCUCUCAUGGUCUAUGACAUCACCAGGUACACACACACACACACUCUCUCAUGGUCUAUGACAUCACCAGGUACACACACACACACACUCUCUCAUGGUCUAUGACAUCACCAGGUACACACACACACACACUCUCUCAUGGUCUAUGACAUCACCAGGUACACACACACACACACUCUCUCAUGGUCUAUGACAUCACCAGGUACACACACACACACACUCUCUCAUGGUCUGACAUCACCAGGUACACACACACACACACACUCUCUCAUGGUCUGACAUCACCAGGUACACACACACACACACACUCUCAUGGUCUAUGACAUCACCAGGUACACACACACACACACUCUCUC